GUAGUUAGCCGUGGCUUCCUCCUCGCUUACCGUCAUUAUCGUCAGCGAAGACAGAGCUUUACAACCCGAAGGCCUUCUUCUCUCACGCGGCGUUGCUGGGUCAGGCUUGCGCCCAUUGCCCAAUAUUCCCCACUGCUGCCUCCCGUAGGAGUCUGGACCGUGUCUCAGUUCCAGUGUGGCCGAUCAGCCUCUCAGCUCGGCUACCCAUCGUUGACUUGGUGGGCCGUUACCUCACCAACUAUCUAAUGGGACGCGAACCCCUCCCAAAGCGGAUUGCUCCUUUGACCUCAUCCCGAUGCCGGGUCGUGGUCUUAUGCGGUAUUAGCACUUGUUUCCAGGUGUUAUCCCCCUNUUUGGGUCAGAUUGUUCACGCGUUACUCACCCGUCCGCCACUAAAAUGAUUCAAGAUUCUGCCGAAGCUUCCUCAGCGAAUCAUUUCCGUUCGACUUGCAUGUGUUAAGCACGCCGCCAGCGUUCAUCCUGAGCCAGAAUCAAACUCUGA
rnacentral:rRNA from 1 species